UGACGAAGACAGUGAAGACUCAGUCAAGGAGGCCGAAGCUGGUCUUUAUGGGGUGGCAUUGCAGGUUGAGAGUGGACACACAGGAACAAUAUAUCAACAGUGCAUUUGAAGAGCAACUGUUCAAACCAAGAUGAUAUUGCGAAAAUGCUGCAAAAAUAUACUCAUGGGCAUCAAACACACUCAAAUAUGCUCAUGAACCACUUUAGCUGAGUGUGAAACUCUCUUCUAUGCUCCCAUGAAACACACCUACAGCACCACAAUGCACAGCGCUUCCGGCAGAGCCCCACGGUGUGACCACGUGGCCAGGAGGCUCGGCCUCUCGCGCAACAGCCCUGGGAUAACUGCGGUCAGACAGGAGGAAAAGCACGGAGACGCGGCGACAAAGGAACGCCGAAGGAAACCAGAGGUGAAUUGUUCCUUGGCACUCGUGCGCGCAAGGGAGACUCCUGAUGCAGUGGAAAACCGAAACAUGCUACAUGACUGUCACACAAGCCAACGCAAAACAGAGAAGGAGCAACAAGACCUCGUCAAGACCUCGUAGGAAAGCAGAGAGGAGCAGCGGUCAGGGUUCUGGACUCGAAACGGAGGGCAAUUAACCCAACUGCUCCAGGAACAUACCCAGCUGUACAAGUGAGAGCUCCCGGCUGCUCUCCGGCAGUCAAGAGGGUACGACACAAACCUGCCGUUUAAACAUUCCAGGGCCUGGGAAGACCUCAACAGGCCAGGGGUGCAGGGAGGACCAAGAUCUCCAUGCAGAAAAGCUCAGGAAAUAGAAGGCAGAUGCUGGUCUGAGCCCUACAAAAAAACAGUAUAGUGCCUUACAUCAUGCAGCACACUAGAAUACCACUAACCUCUUCCAAAUAAAAGCACUGAUCUCCAAAAGCAUUCCCUUUUCCUCUGUCUAUAAGAGCAGAUCUGUGGGAAACAGCCAGAACUGCAGCUUUGUGACACACAAAGCACAAAACCCAGCCAGCCUCCCUUUAUCCUCCGAUAGGCCUCCCUUUACCACCAGCACAGGAACCUCUUAUUUGGCAGACACCUCCGUCAGAAGAAACACUGGAAAGUUUUUAUGAAGAUAAUAAUAGCUUAAAUGUACAGGGCGCUUUUUCUUCCCAGAGCUUUACACAGAAAGGGACCCACGCAACAAUGCUGUGUAUUGUAAAUAGGAGGGAAAACAAUUAUCCACCAGCCUGUAGACUCUGAUGUCUGCCAGGGUGCUGUAGUAAUGACAGUGAUUCCUGUGUGGAUGUGCCAACAUGGAUUCCCCCUCAUCGUGCUUUCAAGGCUGGCUCCCACUGCUCCUCCUCAACCUCAGCCCUGAGGAAGGCCCUAAUGAGGAAGCAACAUCUGAAACCAAUUCUGCUGCAGUGCUUCAGUACAACCAGCCUGCUGCUCAUGGAACUGUCCUUCUGGACAGUCUGCAGUGCAGGUGCCUGUUCCAGUUUCCCAUCCCGUCGGCGGUACAGAGCUCCUGCCACAAACUGGAGUCCCAGGUCCAGUGUCCACAUGCUGCUGGUCCCCGCUGGCCGGCUCGUAAGCAAGCCUGUGCCCCCAGCAUCAGCACGGUCUUUGAGUGGAACGACGUUCCUUUACUUCAGAAACAAUCCAAGAGAAAUUUUCCCCGGGCUGCUGCCAUUCCUCCACCAGGCUGUCUCACCUCCUGCCUCUAUCUGCAAUCGUAAAUCAUAAGAAACGCAUUCUCACACGGCCUUCAUGUGACUGAGCCUGUGGGUUAAGUGCCAGAUCACACAGCGGCACAGCCUGUGAACUCUCUGUGCUGCAGCUCUUGCGUGCCAGGGUGUGAGAAAGAGCCGAGUCCGAGACGCACUCACUCGGCCUGUGAAAUCAGCUCCUCCUGUGAACUACCAACGAGCAGGGGAAUCUGACUCUCUGUGGGGCCUAAGGACUCAGGGGCUCGAGCUCCUGGUAGCACCUGUCUUCGGGGCACCCCUGCAGAACAGGGUCGCCCUCCUGCGCCACCGCUUGGCUCACCACAAGCACCCAUCACAGCGCCGCCGCCCGCCGCGCACGGGUGUGGCAGAGACUGAUGGAAAGAAACCGCACAGCCCGGCUCCAAAGUCCCCCUGCCGAAGGUGCGAACUCUGUAGCGGAGCACGGGGGAUUCACUCGAUCUGGACAAACCCGGCAUGGAUCAUCAUGCCGAUCAGCAAGGGGGCACUUGGCAGCGGAGAGGUACUUAAAAAUGAGAAAACUGACGUCAGACCUAAGCAAACCGGACAAUCAAACUCCUUACUCCAAUCAUGAGCUCAAUUCAGGCAGAUGACUAAUGAGAAUCAGUAGAUCCUGUACCCCUGAGGGACUGAAGAUGCCUGUUCCUGCAUGCUUUCCAUGGCUCUUAGGGUUGUCGUGGGUCAGUGGGUUAACCCUGCUGGUAUCGGGCGCGUUCUCUGUCAGCCACUGGUCCUGCAGGGUUGCUCGAGAUAGCUGCUUUCCCAGCACGCGAUCUCGAGAGCCCUGCACAGGCCUGCCGGGAGCAGAUCUGAGCUCCUGGACAGGAGCGGGCCAGGCUGCCGCGCUGAGGAGGAGGAGGAGGCCUUAUCGGGGCAGAGAGAGAGGGA